UGCAAGUCGAGGGGCAGCAUGGUCUUAGCUUGCUAAGGCUGAUGGCGACCGGCGCACGGGUGAGUAACACGUAUCCAACCUGCCGUCUACUCUUGGCCAGCCUUCUGAAAGGAAGAUUAAUCCAGGAUGGGAUCAUGAGUUCACAUGUCCGCAUGAUUAAAGGUAUUUUCCGGUAGACGAUGGGGAUGCGUUCCAUUAGAUAGUAGGCGGGGUAACGGCCCACCUAGUCAACGAUGGAUAGGGGUUCUGAGAGGAAGGUCCCCCACAUUGGAACUGAGACACGGUCCAAACUCCUACGGGAGGCAGCAGUGAGGAAUAUUGGUCAAUGGGCGAUGGCCUGAACCAGCCAAGUAGCGUGAAGGAUGACUGCCCUAUGGGUUGUAAACUUCUUUUAUAAAGGAAUAAAGUCGGGUAUGCAUACCCGUUUGCAUGUACUUUAUGAAUAAGGAUCGGCUAACUCCGUGCCAGCAGCCGCGGUAAUACGGAGGAUCCGAGCGUUAUCCGGAUUUAUUGGGUUUAAAGGGAGCGUAGAUGGAUGUUUAAGUCAGUUGUGAAAGUUUGCGGCUCAACCGUAAAAUUGCAGUUGAUACUGGAUGUCUUGAGUGCAGUUGAGGCAGGCGGAAUUCGUGGUGUAGCGGUGAAAUGCUUAGAUAUCACGAAGAACUCCGAUUGCGAAGGCAGCCUGCUAAG
rnacentral:rRNA from 1 species